rnacentral:rRNA from 1 species
GGAAUUAUUGGGCGUAAAGAGCUCGUAGGCGGUUUGUCGCGUCUGCUGUGAAAGCCCGGGGCUUAACCCCGGGUGUGCAGUGGGUACGGGCAGACUAGAGUGCAGUAGGGGAGACUGGAAUUCCUGGUGUAGCGGUGGAAUGCGCAGAUAUCAGGAGGAACACCGAUGGCGAAGGCAGGUCUCUGGGCUGUUACUGACGCUGAGGAGCGAAAGCAUGGGGAGCGAACAGGAUUAGAUACCCUGGUAGUCCAUGCCGUAAACGUUGGGCACUAGGUGUGGGGGACAUUCCACGUUUUCCGCGCCGUAGCUAACGCAUUAAGUGCCCCGCCUGGGGAGUACGGCCGCAAGGCUAAAACUCAAAGGAAUUGACGGGGGCCCGCACAAGCGGCGGAGCAUGCGGAUUAAUUCGAUGCAACGCGAAGAACCUUACCAAGGCUUGACAUAUACCGGAU